UAUAUAUAUAUAUACAAAAUAUAGAAUAGAGUGGGCAAUAUUAUAAAAAAUUGUUACAUCACACCACACACAUUUGCGUAUGGACGAUGGAGAGGUGUUUUAUAUUUGUAAAAUCGGGAGAAGAGAGAGAGAAGAAUCUUAUUUUUAUUAUAUCAUUAUUGGAGAUUAUAAAUAAAAGUUAUUUACUAGUAUUCAAUAUGGAGAUAUCACAAAAAUAUUAAAUAUGCUAGUUCUUAUGCAUUGCACAAAAAAAGAGAGAUUGGCAGGGGGAAGGAUAAAGAAUGAUAGAGAUGAGGGUUAGAUAGGAGGGGAUGGAAAAAGAGGACAAUAAAAAAAUUGUUUAAAAAUAUGUUCAAAAUAUUAACCUUUAAGAAGGUAAAGUAUCUCAAACGAUUCUGUUUAUCCAUUGUGCUUCUCCCAAAAUAUCUUGCACAUUACGAUAUUACAGUAUAUUACAGAAAAAUAUUAUAGCUAAAAUUUUUAGCGCAAUAUAUUAUUUCUAUUAGUAACAUUUCAUUGUAUUUUCAUGUUUUUAAGCCAAUAUUUGUUUAUUUAAAUAUAGCGAUUAUUAUUCCACAUUCCCCUUUUUCAAAAAACUAAAUUAAAAGAUUAUUGAUGUUAAAACUUAAUGUGUUUAUAAGAAAACAAGAAGUAAAAACUUGAAUCUAUAUUAUGCACGUCGUUUUUGCCAAAUAAAAGGGAUUUCCAGUUACACAUUUAUGGUAUAUAUAUUAAUGUUAAUACUUGAUGUAAUAUAUGUGACAAUGUAAAAUGGACAAAAUAAACAUAUAUUUAUAUAGCUAUUCAUAUAGAAUAUGUAGUCUUUUUUUACAUAUUUAUAUGCUGUAUGUAUAACAACAUUUGCUCAUUAUAGCAUGUAUGCAUAUUAUAUUCUUACUAAUCUGUAUAUGUGUUUAUAUAUGUUGUGUGUUCAUGAAUGUACUGUUUGAAUUAUAUAAAAGCGAAAAUAGUGUAGCAACAAUCAGAGAAACAAUAUUAUUUUAACUAAUUAUAAAACACUCAUUAUAUUUUUUAUCAGAUUCUGCUUGAUACUAAGACAUUGUUUUAAUGCGCGAGAAUAUAAAUGGCAAUUGAUUAAUCUUAAUGCAUAUUUAUAUAGGAACUGACAAAUCCUUGAAAAAUUAUACAAAAAAGAUAUAGUGUACAAGAAAGUAUUGUAUUCCUAUACAUUCUUUACAAGUAUGUUUCGUCUUGAUGUGUAAAUUCUCUUGAAUGUAUAUUAUACAUGAAUUGAUCUUACAAUAUAUUAUUUAUAUAGAAUAAUUCAUAUAUAUUCAAUGCACAUAAUAAAAAUACAAGGCAAUUUUGUGAAACCAUGAAAAGCAAAUUCUAGUGUAAAUUAUUGUAAAAAUUAUCAACAUACAAAGAGACCGAGUUUAUAAAUACGCACAUACAUAUAUAUGUGUGUGGUGUAUGUAUAUAUGUAUCAUAUAUAUACAUAUAUAAAGUUUUUUGAACUAGCAUAUAUGUCAAUAAUAUUUAUAGGCUUUGUGCCAAGUGUUAAGGUGCUUGUGAAUUUGCGCGCGAUAACUAACGGACUUUACCGUAAAUUCUGCUUUUACUUUUAUUUAAAUCAAUUUCUUUUUAUUAAUAGAAAAACGUUGUAUAGUAGUUAUAAUACACGUAUACGUACGUAUAGCAAAUUUUUAUUUUGCGACGCGUUUCCAGAUCGAUGAUUUUUCGAAAGAUUCUCAUUCUCAUUGAAUAAAAACGAUGGUAGUAUGCGCUGGAUGCACAGAGCAGGUAUUCACAAAGCACAAAGAAUACUUGGCUAUAACAAACAUUUUAUUCAACUAUUGUGGUAUCAGAUAUAAACGAACAUUUUUUUUAUCAUUGUUAAAAGUACUAAACUGAAUGGCCUAAGGUAUAAGUAUGACUGUGUAUAUGUUCAUUUGUGUGUCUGUGUACAUGAGUGUAUGUGAAUGCAAAUAGGUGGCUUACUUAAAAUCUCCACCACUGCACAUAUUGUGUAACCACAAA